AUGUGGCCAUGGGUGGCGUUGGUGCUGGUCGCGCUGUGGGUGCGGCCGGCCGCGUCGGCCGAUACCGCGUCGUCCUAUAUUGUGCACAUGGACAAGUCGGCCAUGCCGAGCGGGGUCUCGAGCCACCUCCGCUGGUACGAAUCCACGCUGGCGGUGGCCGCCCCGGGGGCAGAAAUGUUCUACGUCUACGACCACGCCAUGCACGGCUUCGCGGCGCGGCUCCCUGAGGACGAGCUCGACAGGCUACGGCGCUCUCCCGGCUUCGUGUCGUGCUACCGCGACGACGCGAGGGUGGUGCGCGACACGACGCACACGCCCGAGUUCCUCGGCGUCAGCGCGGCCGGCGGGAUAUGGGAGGCGUCCAAGUACGGUGAGAAUGUGAUCAUCGGCGUGGUCGACUCGGGCGUGUGGCCCGAGAGCGCGAGCUUCCGCGACGACGGGCUCCCCCCGGUGCCGGCACGGUGGAAGGGCUUCUGCGAGUCCGGCCCCGCGUUCGACGCGGCCAAGGCGUGCAACCGGAAGCUCGUCGGCGCCCGCAAGUUCAACAAGGGCCUCAUCGCCAACAACGUGACCGUCGCUGUCGACUCCCCGCGGGACACGGACGGCCACGGCACGCACACGUCGUCCACGGCCGCUGGCUCGCCGGUGUCGGGCGCAUCCUUCUUCGGCUACGCCCGAGGCACCGCUCGCGGCAUGGCGCCCCGCGCCAGGGUGGCGGUGUACAAGGCCCUGUGGGACGAAGGCACGUACGCUUCCGACAUACUCGCCGCUAUGGACCAGGCCAUCGCCGACGGCGUCGACGUGCUCUCCGUCUCCCUUGGCCUGAACGGCCGGCAGUUAUACGACGACCCUGUCGCCAUUGGCGCGUUCGCGGCGAUGCAGCGCGGCGUGUUCGUGUCAACUUCGGCCGGUAACGAUGGACCGGACCUCGGGUACCUCCACAAUGGCUCGCCGUGGGUGCUCACCGUCGGGUCGGGCACGGUGGACAGGGAGUUCUCCGGCGUCGUCAGGCUCGGCGACGGCACGACAUUCGUCGGUGAAUCGCUAUACCCAGGAACCCCGAGCAGCCUCGGGAACGCCGGGCUCGUCUUCCUCGGCACGUGCGACAACGACACGUCCCUCUCCAUGAAUCGCGACAAGGUCGUGCUCUGCGACGCCACGGACACGGCGGACUCCCUCGGGUCCGCGAUAUCCGCGGCACAGGGCGCGAAGGUGCGCGGCGCGCUGUUCCUGUCGAGCGACCCGUUCAGGGAGCUCUCGGAGAGCUUUGUGUUCCCGGGCGUGAUCCUGAGCCCGCAGGACGCCCCCGCGUUGCUGCAUUACAUCAAGAGGAGCCGCACGCCCAAGGCCUCGAUCAAGUUCGCGGUGACCGUGGUGGACACAAAGCCCGCGCCGCUGCUGGCGACCUACUCGUCGCGCGGCCCGGCGGAGAGCUGUCCCACGGUGCUUAAGCCCGACCUGUUCGCGCCUGGCUCGCUCAUCCUCGCAUCGUGGGCGGAGAACGUCAGCGUCGCGAAUGUUGGGCAGCAGCCACUGUUCGGCAAGUUCAAGAUCAUCUCCGGCACGUCCAUGUCGUGCCCACACGCGUCAGGCGUGGCGGCGCUCCUCAAGGCCGUCCACCCGGAGUGGAGCCCCGCGGCGGUGCGGUCGGCAAUGAUGACAACGGCUAGCGUAGUGGACAACACCUUUGCUCCCAUCAAGGACAUGUCCGGCGGCAACGAGAACGGGCCAGCCUCACCGCUCGCGAUGGGGUCCGGCCACAUCGACCCGAACCGCGCGCUGGCCCCGGGCCUGGUCUACGAAGCCGGGCCGGCCGACUACAUCAAGCUCAUGUGCGCCAUGAACUACACGACGGCGCAAAUCAAGACCGUGGCGCAGUCGUCGGCCCCCGUGGACUGCAACGGUGCAUCGCUCGAUCUCAACUACCCGUCCUUCAUCGCGUACUUUGACACGGCCGGAGAGAAGACAUUCGCCAGGACCGUGACCAACGUGGGCGAUGGGCUGGCGAGGUAUAGCGCCACGGUGGAGGGACUGGACGGGCUAAAGGUGAGCGUCGUGCCGAACAGGCUGGUGUUCGGCGGGAAGCACGAGAAGCAGAGAUACACUGUGGUGAUUCAGGUGCAGGAUGAGCUAAUGCCCGAGGUAGUGCUGCAUGGAUCGUUGACGUGGGUGGACGACAACAACGAGUACACGGUGAGGAGCCCCAUCGUGGUGACGACGACGUCUGUGCUAUAG
rnacentral:rRNA from 1 species